UACGGGAGGCAGCAGUGGGGAAUCUUGUGCAAUGGGCGAAAGCCUGACGCAGCCAUGCCGCGUGAAUGAUGAAGGUCUUAGGAUUGUAAAAUUCUUUCACCGGGGACGAUAAUGACGGUACCCGGAGAAGAAGCCCCGGCUAACUUCGUGCCAGCAGCCGCGGUAAUACGAAGGGGCUAGCGUUGCUCGGAAUUACUGGGCGUAAAGGGAGCGUAGGCGGACAUUUAAGUCAGGGGUGAAAUCCGGGGCCAACUCGGAAUUGCCUUUGAUACUGGGUGUCUUGAGUAUGAGAGAGGUGUGUGGAACUCCGAGUGUAGAGGUGAAAUUCGUAGAUAUUCGGAAGAACACCAGUGGCGAAGGCGACACACUGGCUCAUUACUGACGCUGAGGCUCGAAAGCGUGGGGAGCAAACAGGGAUUAGAUACC
rnacentral:rRNA from 1 species